rnacentral:rRNA from 1 species
AGAGUUUGAUCAUGGCUCAGGACGAACGCUGGCGGCGUGCUUAACACAUGCAAGUCGAACGGUUCUCGAAGUUCGAGGUUGGAGGUUCGAAGUUCGAAUAGAAAGAAUUCGCGAAGCGAAUUCAAACAAGCAAUCGAACCUCGAAUUUCGAACCUCGAACUUCGAGGAUAGUGGCGGACGGGUGAGUAACGCGUGGAUAACCUGCCUGUUGGGCCGGGACAACACCGGGAAACUGGUGCUAAUACCGGAUACGCUCAUAUAGACACAUGUAGAUAUGAGGAAAGGGGAAACCCGCUGACAGAUGGGUCCGCGUCCCAUUAGCUAGUUGGCGGUGUAAGAGACCACCAAGGCGACGAUGGGUAGCCGGCCUGAGAGGGUGGACGGCCACACUGGAACUGAGACACGGUCCAGACUCCUACGGGAGGCAGCAGUGGGGAAUCUUCCGCAAUGGGCGCAAGCCUGACGGAGCAACGCCGCGUGAGUGAAGAAGGCUUUCGGGUCGUAAAACUCUGUCUUCAGGGAAGAAGGAAGUGACGGUACCUGAGGAGGAAGCCCCGGCUAACUACGUGCCAGCAGCCGCGGUAAAACGUAGGGGGCGAGCGUUGUCCGGAAUUACUGGGCGUAAAGGGCGCGUAGGCGGUUUCUUAAGUCAGAGGUGAAAACUACCGGCUUAACCGGUAGCCUGCCUUUGAAACUGAGGAACUUGAGGGCAGGAGAGGGGAGUGGAAUUCCCAGUGUAGCGGUGAAAUGCGUAGAUAUUGGGAGGAACACCAGUGGCGAAGGCGGCUCUCUGGCCUAACCCUGACGCUGAGGCGCGAAAGCGUGGGGAGCAGACGGGAUUAGAUACCCCGGUAGUCCACGCCGUAAACGAUGGGUGCUAGGUGUAGGAGGUAUCGACCCCUUCUGUGCCGUAGUUAACACAAUAAGCACCCCGCCUGGGGAGUACGCCGCAAGGUUGAAACUCAAAUGAAUUGACGG